CUUGCACCCUCACCUCUUUCCUGGUAGGAUCCAGAGAUCUGCCCCGCCUCUCCCGUGGGGGCUGCUGGGUAGGGCCUCUGCUUCCCAUGGAUCACAGUGCAGUUCCCCGCGGCCUCGCCGAGUGUUGUGAGCUCAACAAGUGUUGCGGUAGGGCGCUCAACUCUUCCAAAGGAAGGCCCCACUAGCAUCUUGGAAGCUGCAAAAUAAAGAGCCCUGCUGAGAUUGAUGCCCAAUCACAGUAAUGUAUUCUGACCUAGAAACAUGAGUCACGUGGUAAAUGAAAAAAAAAUAGAGAAUUGUCAUAUUGGACUCUCUCAAAAGAAAAAAGAAAAAACAAGAAAGAAAGAAGAGAAAAACAGAAUGGAUACCCACUAUUGACAAAAGAGAAAUUUGGAUGAAAUUCAGGAAUACAGAAUCUAGGAGACAUGAGUUCGAUUGCUGGGUCGGAAAGAGCCCCUGGAGAAGGAAACGGCAACACACUCUAGUAUUCUUGCCUGGGAAAUCCCAUGGACAAGGAACGUGGCUGGCUACAAUUUAUGGAAUCUCAAAACAGUCAGACACAGAUGAGCGAUUAAACAACUCUUAUUUAAGUACUUCUGUCACCUGGAGAUGCUGCUUCCCCUUAGCCUCUGAGUCUUUUAAUAUGUUAUUCCCUCUGCCUGGAACACAGUUUUUGACGGCCAACGAAAUGCCAACAGUUGGCAUUUGAAUCAUUGUGGUGAUUAAUUUUAUGUGUCAUCUUGAUUGGGCUAAGGGGUGCCCAGAUAACCUGUGAAACAUUUCUGGAUAUGUCUGCAAGGAUGUUUCUGAAAGAGAUAAGCACUGAAUUUGUAGACUGAGUAAAGAAAAACACAUUCCCCAGUGUGGGAGGACAUCAGCCAGUUGGUUGAAGACAUGAAUAGAAAAAAAGACUGAGGAAGGGUGAAGUUGCUGUAUGCUUGGACAGCCAUCUUCUUCUUUCUUCAGACAUAGGUAUUCCUGGUUCUCAGACUUUUAGAUUUGGACUGCCUUAUCCUUUCUUCCCCUAGCUUCCCUUGUUCUCUAGCUUGCAGAUGGCAGGCCAUGGAGCUUUUCAGUCUCCAUAAUUGUAUGACCAUUACUUACAAUAAAUCUCCUCAUACAUAAUUUAUUAGUUCUGUUUCUCUAGAGAACCCUGACUAAUACAGAUGUCAAUACAGAUAUGUCUUAGGUUCCUUUACUUGUAUAUAAUACCAAAAAAAACCAACCCUCAUAUACACACAUCCAGAUCCAACUCAUAAGCUUCUUUUAUUGCCAGCUCCCUCACCCAGAAAGAUUAAAAUUCCCUGGUGCCCGCAGGCUUGGCCUAAAGAAGAGACACCAGGCUUCCUUUUCGUGCAGCCCUUUGGGUGUAGCUGCUGUUCCCGUUGAUCCCUGCUCUAUGUGUGCCCAACUGGUUUACCUCUUUGAUUCAACCUCAUCUGUUAUUUACACACAUUCAAACGAGCACUUAACAAUAGUGGUCAUAGCAGUCCCUUAGGUUUUUCAGUCCUAGAAAUUUCUACUUAUUUAGCCAAUGUCUUCUAAUCAUCUAAAAGGAGACUCAGCUCAUAAUUAAUAAAAAUUGAAAAAGCCAGGUCCUAAAGGAAUUUCUCAAGAUUUCUACUGAUUCAGCAUUCUUCACUCGCCCACUGCAGACCAGUCACAUUUCACUUAUCCCAGGGCCCUUAAUUUUGAUGUUUCUUCUUCCUGGAAGAUUUCCCUGUGUCCCUCACCCUUGGUCUUGCUGGGUUCCCCCACCAAGGAUUCCUAAAUACCUUUUACUUCCCUGUGACCUUCUCUGUGCUAGACUAUCUCUUGUCUGUGCUCUGAGCUUCCUCAAGGCAGAGUGUGUAUUUGUCAAGGCUCUCGCUAUAUCCAUAGGACCUGGCAUAUGGUAGCUGCAUGAUAAAUAGAGCUGAACAAAUAAAUAAAACAAACUGUGGCGAGAAUAGAGCUUGCAUUAAAAGUUUAUCUCCACUUUCCCCCUUUAUCCCCAGGAGACCCCAUCCUCCAGAAUUUAAAGAAGAAAGUUGAACCCUUCUCACUUUAAGCCUAUCUUAAAAGCUGCUUUUAGAAACUCCAGUGCACACUCACACACCAUUAUAUGUUAUUUUAGGCUGGUGUAAUAAUAAAAC
ensembl:lncRNA